ACUCCUACGGGAGGCAGCAGUGGGAAUAUUGCACAAUGGGGGAACCCUGAUGCAGCCAUGCCGCGUGUAUGAAGAAGGCCUUCGGGUUGUAAAGUACUUUCAGCAGUGAGGAAGGUGGAGUCGUUAAUAGCGCUCAUUUGACGUUAGCUGCAGAAGAAGCACCGGCGUAACUCCGUGCCAGCAGCCGCGGUAAUACGGAGGGUGCGAGCGUUAAUCGGAAUUACUGGGCGUAAAGCGCAUGCAGGUGGUUUGUUAAGUCAGAUGUGAAAGCCCGGGGCUCAACCUCGGAAUAGCAUUUGAAACUGGCAGACUAGAGUACUGUAGAGGGGGUAGAAUUUCAGGUGUAGCGGUGAAAUGCGUAGAGAUCUGAAGGAAUACCGGUGGCGAACGGCGGCCCCCUGGACAGAUACUGACACUCAGAUGCGAAAGCGUGGGGAGCAAACAGGAUUAGAUA
rnacentral:rRNA from 1 species